rnacentral:lncRNA from 10 species
AAAGUGCCGGGAUGACAGCUGUGAGCCACCGCGCCCCGCCCAGAAGCAGAGGUGUUUUAACGGGAAGACUUCAGGCUUCAUCGGACGGCCGGGAAGGAAUCAGAGCAGGGGUGAAUCCAGAGGCUGUUUUAGAGCCAGACGGACACUCCUGGUAUGCACCAGACACUCAUAGUGCAGUGCUCGCUGAGUAGAGGAGGAGUUAGUGGGUGAACCCGGCCCGCCAGGCUGCCCUGCACAGAAUUCCAGCCUUGUCACCCCACUGGUUUUUAAAUCAUCACAAUCCUCGGGAUGUUCUGUGCAUGCCACACACAGACUCUUAAGAGUCCAGAGGUCCUGUUUUUGCACAGUUACUCCAAUGAAUAAAAAGACGGGCUGGGCGUGGUGGCUCACGCCUGUCAUCCGAGCACUUUGGGAGGCCGAGGCGGGGUGGAUUGCCUGAAGUCAAGAGCUGAAGACCAGCCUGGCCAACAUGGUGAAACCUCGUCUCUACUGAAAAUACAAAAAAAUUAGCUGGGCGUGGUGGUGGGCGCCUGUAAUUUUAGCUAUUGCGGAGGCUAAGGCAGGAGAAUCGCUUGAACCCGGGAGGCGGAGGUUGCAGUGAGCCGAGAUCACACCACUGCACUCCAGCCUGGGCGACAGUGAGACUG